AUCGGUCGGGGCAUUGAAUAUGACUCGGGAAGUAUUUUGCAGCUUCAUUUGAGUUUGGUUAGGUCCCAUUUGACGUAUUGGGUGCAGUUCUGUUUGCUCCGUUACAAGAAGGAUGUGGAGGCUUUGGUGAGGGUCCAGAUUUACGAGAGGUAUAAAUAGGGGUAGAUGGUCAGAACCUUUUCUCCAUGGUGCAAAUGUCAGACUAGAGAGCAUAGUUUUAAGGUGAGAGGGCAACAUUUAAAUGUGUAGGCAAGUUUUGUUUUACGCACAGGUGGAUGCCUGGCACACACUGUGAGUGGAGGUGGAGGCUGAUAUGAAAAUGCAUUUAAGAGAUAUAGAUAAGCACAUGGAUAUGCAGGGAAUAGUGGGACAUAGAUCAAGUGCAGGCAGAGAUGAUUAGUUUAACUUGGCGUCGUAUAGGGGGGUUGCACGUAAGGUCACUGGGUCAUAGGGCUUGACGCACGGAGCCACACAAUCCAUCUUGGAGGACAUCCGUAACUUCCGGCAUAUGUUAUUAAUGCUAGAAACGCGUACUUUCCUAUGUGUUAAAAACCGCCAAAAUGUUGAAUUUUUGCGCUGAAAAAAAAUUGCGGAAGUUGGGGUAAGUGUGAAGGACAUGUACCCAACUUUAGAAUUCCAAACGUGAAGCGAAAUGAAGGUAAAGAGAAGCAGAGCUGAAGGGACAACAGCAGCUAAAGUGCUUGGUAAACAUUGGCCGCGCAGAUAUCGGAAUUGAAAAUCUUGGGAAUUAUCGCGUUUGCUCACUGCAUUUCAUCAACGCACCUGCAAUUCAGAACUCCAAGAAGGAAACAAAGGCGAGGCUGUGCUGAUUAAAAUUGGAAAAGUGGAUAUCCUUUAA